UGCAAGUCGAACGGUAACAGGACGCGUAGGAUCCCGUUCGGGGUGUACUUUGUCGCUGACGAGUGGCGGACGGGUGAGUAAUGCAUAGGAAUCUACCCAGUAGCGGGGGAUAACGUGAAGAAAUUCACGCUAAUACCGCAUACGUCCUACGGGAGAAAGCGGGGGACCUUCGGGCCUCGCACUAUUGGAUGAGCCUAUGUCAGAUUAGCUUGUUGGUGGGGUAACGGGCCUACCAAGGCGACGAUCUGUAGCUGGUCUGAGAGGAUGAUCAGCCACACUGGGACUGAGACACGGCCCAGACUCCUACGGGAGGCAGCAGUGGGGAAUAUUGCACAAUGGGCGCAAGCCUGAUGCAGCAAUGCCGCGUGUGUGAAGAAGGCCUGCGGGUUGUAAAGCACUUUUAUUAGGAAAGAAAACCCGGAGUUAAUACCUCCGGCAUUGACGGUACCUAAAGAAUAAGCACCGGCUAACUCAGUG
rnacentral:rRNA from 1 species